AGUGAACGCUGGCGGUAGGCCUAACACAUGCAAGUCGAACGGCAGCACAGUAAGAGCUUGCCCUUACGGGUGGCGAGUGGCGGACGGGUGAGGAAUACAUCGGAAUCUACUUUUUCGUGGGGGAUAACGUAGGGAAACUUACGCUAAUACCGCAUACGACCUACGGGUGAAAGCAGGGGAUCUUCGGACCUUGCGCGAUUGAAUGAGCCGAUGUCGGAUUAGCUAGUUGGCGGGGUAAAGGCCCACCAAGGCGACGAUCCGUAGCUGGUCUGAGAGGAUGAUCAGCCACACUGGAACUGAGACACGGUCCAGACUCCUACGGGAGGCAGCAGUGGGGAAUAUUGGACAAUGGGCGCAAGCCUGAUCCAGCCAUACCGCGUGGGCGAAGAAGGCCUUCGGGUUGUAAAGCCCUUUUGUUGGGAAAGAAAAGCAGCAGGUUAAUACCCCGCUGUCCUGACGGUACCCAAAGAAUAAGCACCGGCUAACUUCGUG
rnacentral:rRNA from 1 species